rfam:Canis lupus familiaris chromosome 35, whole genome shotgun sequence.
CUAAAGGCCCUUCUCAGGGCCACACAAUCUGCUCCUUUGAAAGAGCU